AACGUAGGAGGCGAGCGUUAUCCGGAGUUACUGGGCGUAAAGCGUGUGUAGGCGGUUGUAUAAGUGGGGUGUGAAAAGUUCCAGCUAAACUGGGAAGGUGCGCCUCAGACUGUAUAACUAGAGUGGGAUAGAGGGGCGUGGAAUUCCGGGUGGAGCGGUGAAAUGUGUAGAGAUCCGGAGGAACACCAGAGGCGCAAGCGGCGCCCUGGGUCCCAACUGACGCUGAGACACGAAAGCUUGGGGAGCGAACGGG
rnacentral:rRNA from 1 species